rnacentral:rRNA from 1 species
GAGGGGUGCAAGCGUUAUUCGGAUUCAUUGGGCGUAAAGGGUGUGUAGGCGGCAGGUUAAGUCAACUGUUAAAUUUUCCGGCCUAACUGGAAACAUGCAGUAGAUACUAGCUUGCUAGUGGAUGAGAGAGAGAAGUGGAAUUCUCGGAGUAGCGGUAAAAUGCGUGGAUCUCGAGAGGAACACCAAUGGCGAAGGCAGCUUCUUGGCUCAUUCCAGACGCUGAGACACGAAAGCGUGGGGGGAGCAAACAGGAUUAGAUACCCUGGUAGUCCACGCUGUAAACGAUGAUCACUAGACGUUAGACUUGUUUUACAAGUUUAGUGUCGUAGCUAACGCGAUAAGUGAUCCGCCUGGGGACUACGGUCGCAAGAUUA